rnacentral:rRNA from 1 species
UUGUCCCGGGGCAAGUGCGUAGGCCGAGAGAUAGGCAAAUCCGUCUCUCAUACGGCUGAGACACGAUGCGGAUGGAAAGUGGGUGAUCCUAUGCUGCCGAGAAAAGCAUCGACGCGAGGUUCUAGCCGCCCGUACCCCAAACCGACUCAGGUGGUCAGGUAGAGAAUACCAAGGAGAUCGAGAGAAUCGUGGUUAAGGAACUCGGCAAAAUGCCCCCGUAACUUCGGGAGAAGGGGGGCCUUCGACGUAUUAGGACUUGCUCCGAAAGCGUUUGGAGGCCGCAGAGACUAGUGGGUAGCGACUGUUUAUUAAAAACACAGGUCCGUGCCAAGUCGCAAGACGAUGUAUACGGACUGACGCCUGCCCGGUGCUGGAAGGUUAAGAGGACGGGUUAGCGCAAGCGAAGCUCAGAAUUUAAGCCCCAGUAAACGGCGGUGGUAACUAUAACCAUCCUAAGGUAGCGAAAUUCCUUGUCGGGUAAGUUCCGACCUGCACGAAUGGCGUAACGACUUCCCAACUGUCUCAACCGCGAACUCGGCGAAAUUGCACUACGAGUAAAGAUGCUCGUUACGCGCAGCAGGACGGAAAGACCCCGUGACCUUUACUACAGCUUGGUAUUGGUGUUCGGUGUGGCUUGUGUAGGAUAGGUGGGAGACUUUGAAGCAUGGACGCCAGUUCAUGUGGAGUCAUUGUUGAAAUACCACUCUGGUCACUCUGGAUAUCUAACUUCGAACCGUGAUCCGGUUCAGGGACAGUGCCUGGUGGGUAGUUUAACUGGGGCGGUUGCCUCCCAAAAUGUAACGGAGGCGCCCAAAGGUUCCCUCAAUCUGGUUGGCAAUCAGAUGUCGAGUGUAAGUGCACAAGGGAGCUUGACUGUGAGACUGACAGGUCGAGCAGGGACGAAAGUCGGGACUAGUGAUCCGGCAGUGGCUUGUGGAAGCGCUGUCGCUCAACGGAUAAAAGGUACCUCGGGGAUAACAGGCUGAUCUUGCCCAAGAGUCCAUAUCGACGGCAUGGUUUGGCACCUCGAUGUCGGCUCGUCGCAUCCUGGGGCUGGAGUAGGUCCCAAGGGUUGGGCUGUUCGCCCAUUAAAGCGGUACGCGAGCUGGGUUUAGAACGUCGUGAGACAGUUCGGUCCCUAUCCGCUGCGCGCGUAGGAAAUUUGAGAGGAUCUGACCCUAGUACGAGAGGACCGGGUUGGACGAACCUCUGGUGUGCCAGUUGUUCUGCCAAGAGCACCGCUGGUUAGCUACGUUCGGGAUGGAUAACCGCUGAAAGCAUCUAAGCGGGAAGCCGGCCUCAAGAUGAGAUUUCCAUGCCUUCGGGCGAGAGGCUCCCAGCCAGACUACUGGGUUGAUAGGCCGGAUGUGGAAGCGUGGCAACACGUGCAGCUGACCGGUACUAAUAAGCCGAUGACUUGAU